rnacentral:rRNA from 1 species
AAGCUCGUAGUUGAAUUUCGAGGCCGGCUUACUGGUCGUGCUAUUGUACGUACUGGUAUAAUCGGUUUCCCCUUUCUGACGAACUAUAAUGCCAUUAAUUUGGUGUUUUAGGGAAUCAGGACUGUUACUUUGAAAAAAUUAGAGUGUUUAAAGCAGGCUCACGCUUGAAUACAUUAGCAUGGAAUAACGGAAUAGGACGUUUGAUUCUAUUUUGUUGGUUUCUAGGAUCGACGUAAUGAUUAAUAGGGAUAGUUGGG